CGGGGCUUGGCGAGCCACCCGCAAAGCUAGGUGAAGGCUAAGGAGGCUGGCUGAGGAGUGGGAUUCCUCCAGCACUUACUCCAUUCCGGGGGCGGGUGCUGCGCACAUUCGUGGCUAAAACAAGAGAUAACCGCGCAGAUCCAGGCCCAGGAAAGCAGCAAAGCCAGACAAGCAACGCCACUGUUGACCUCGGGACCAACCGCAUUGGAUAAUGAUCCACUGGAGCCUGUUAGGUCCCCGAAGGAGGAAUGCAGGAGGCCAGAAAGCUAGACACAAGUACAGAGGUUGCUGAACCCAGGUCCAGUAUGACCCCACUCGUCUAGCACUCGUCUAGUUCCUGCCACCCACGACAGAUUGUACAACAGGUUAAUGUUCCUCCCUCUCUCUCUCUGUCUAAAAUAAAGUAAUAAAAUAGAUUGUUGGUGCUAAAUGCUAAAAGUAGCGAGUGAAAGGUUAGAAAAGAACAGGAUACUUACACAGAUUCCAAGUAUGUCCCCCCAGAUAUUUGUUGUAGUUUUAACGCGGCCACAGAAUCGUUGAUACACCUUCCUCCGGGAGGUGAAGCUGGACUCCUUCCUCCCAUUGAGUGUGUGGCCUGGAUUUAGUGACUGGCUUCUCAACAACGAUAUGUGGAAAAGGAAAAUAGUAAUUUUUACAGGAGAGAAAUGCAGACACCACCUUAACCAAGUGGUCGAGGUUAACACCAUCAGUAAUAAGUCCUUUUGAUAUCAUUUACCCCUUCAUACGAUGCAAUGAGAAAGUCACUUCAUCUAUGUGGAAUUUCCCCCCUAAAUUCAUUCCCCCAGUCUAAUCAAAAGAAAACAUCUGCCCAAUCCAAAUGGAGAGAUAUUCCGGAAAGUACUUGAGCCGUGUGGACCAAAAAGGGGCCACAUAGCCCAGCCUGUGUUGCUCAGUGGUGGAGCGUCAACCCAUGUACCAGGAGGUCCCGGGUCGAUUCCCAGCACAUGCCCCGGUUUCUAGCUCCAUCCCCAUUAGUAGGUGUUUCUAUCUCUCUUUUCCUCUCACUCUAAAAUCAAUUUUUAAAAAAUUUAAGAAAGGGGAGGGGGGAGCCACAUAUUAAACCUGACAAGCUCAGGGGAGGCCUGCAUGUCAGGGCUUACAAACUCAGAGACCUAAAGUAACCACAUAGGAUGGUCUAAAUUAAAACUUCC